rnacentral:rRNA from 1 species
AGCGUAGACGGUUAUGUAAGUCUGAUGUGAAAGUUCGGGGCUUAACCCCGGAAUUGCAUUUGAAACUGUAAUACUUGAGUACUGGAGAGGUAAGUGGAAUUCCUAGUGUAGCGGUGAAAUGCGUAGAUAUUAGGAGGAACACCAGUGGCGAAGGCGACUUACUGGACAGAUACUGACGCUGAGGCGCGAAAGCGUGGGGAGCAAACAGGAUUAGAUACCCUCGUA